AUUGAACGCUGGCGGCAUGCCUUACACAUGCAAGUCGAACGGCAGCACGGGAGCAAUCCUGGUGGCGAGUGGCGAACGGGUGAGUAAUGUAUCGGAACGUGCCCAGUCGUGGGGGAUAACGUAGCGAAAGCUACGCUAAUACCGCAUACGAUCUAUGGAUGAAAGCGGGGGAUCGCAAGACCUCGCGCGAUUGGAGCGGCCGAUAUCAGAUUAGGUAGUUGGUGGGGUAAAGGCUCACCAAGCCGACGAUCUGUAGCUGGUCUGAGAGGACGACCAGCCACACUGGGACUGAGACACGGCCCAGACUCCUACGGGAGGCAGCAGGGGGGAAUUUUGGACAAUGGGCGAAAGCCUGAUCCAGCAAUGCCGCGUGCAGGAUGAAGGCCUUCGGGUUGUAAACUGCUUUUGUACGGAACGAAACGGCGAGCUCUAAUACAGUUUGCUAAUGACGGUACCGUAAGAAUAAGCACCGGCUAACUACGUGCCAGCCGCCGCCGUAA
rnacentral:rRNA from 1 species